AGACUGUAGAUGGCGAUGGGCACUGCCAGUCAUGGUGCCCAGAAAUUGUUAAUGUGGCCACAUGCAGAUACAGGUGACACUUCCAGUUUACUGCAGUGACCACGAUGCCUGUGAUGCUU
rnacentral:snoRNA from 1 species